rnacentral:rRNA from 1 species
CAGCACCUCAAGUGGUCAGGAUGAUUAUUGGGCCUAAAGCAUCCGUAGCCGGCUCUGUAAGUUUUCGGUUAAAUCUGUAUGCUCAACAUACAGGCUGCCGGGAAUACUGCAGAGCUAGGGAGUGGGAGAGGUAGACGGUACUCGGUAGGAAGGGGUAAAAUCCUUUGAUCUAUUGAUGACCACCUGUGGCGAAGGCGGUCUACCAGAACACGUCCGACGGUGAGGGAUGAAAGCUGGGGGAGCGAACCGGAUUAGAUACCCGAGUAGUCC